UGUCCUAGUUGUUUCAUCCCUUUCUUCCUCCGUGUGCGACGCUGUUGUAAGGAGUGAGAAAUGGAAGCGCCGUCUUUUCUGUGGCGGUUACCCCCUGAGCCAAGGGAAUGCGGCAGGCCCCGGCCCCUUGCGCCAUCUUUGCUCUACCGCCACCUGCAGGGCUCUGAAUCCUGCAGGCGAGUCCCAGCGCCACGAGGGGGCUUUGGCUUUAAGAUGUUGGUCGGUGUGUUGUCCUUGAAUAAAGGUGAGUGUUACCUGUGAGCCUUUUGAGUGUCUCAGACCAUGAAGCAUUAUGGCAUCUGCCCGUAUUUUCUAAUGAACACGUGCAGCAAUGCAGAAGUUUUACCGAUUGUUUUUCUCCACCACUUGUUUUCGUUUAUCUUGAAGUUAUUAUAUUAAUGUUUUGUAAUUAUUCAUAUUUUUGGUUAAGCUCUCAUUCCCUCCCAAUAGUACUAUUCUCUGCAGUUCUGUGUUUCCUACUCUCCCAAAUCUCCCAUCCUUGAACUUACUUGCUAGAUCUUUACAUGUCUUGUGGCCAAUUUCUUUGGUUUCUCUUGAUCCAAGUCUUCCGUCCCUGAAUUGGGAAUGAUGAUUUCUCAGACUAGAGUCUCUGAUGCUGGUACUGAUGUCAAUAACAAAUUCUGACUCAUUUGGGGAAAAGGAUACUUGGGUCUUUGACAAGGACCUAUAGGGGAGCCUUCAGUUUUUCUCUGCAUGUCCAUCUUCUCAUUGGUUAUCUUGUUUUUCUAGGGUGAGAGUUCUGGAUGCCCAGGCAGGGGCAGUGUCUCUUCCUGGAGACUGCAUUAGUUUGAUGCCUGAAGGCCUAAGGUUUGGGAUCUCUACCUCCUUGGAGAAGUGAUGUCGGGAUGGCUGGGAAACCUUGUGGUGAUGGUUCCUUCUACCUAUCUGCAAGAAGAGGAAAGCUACACGUCUUUGGCUGCUGCGGAUUUUGCUGACACAAGGAAUAUCCUAUCUAGUGUUUGGCUGAUCCUAGGAACUUGACUGUAUUUAUCUGUAUAAGCAACGUGAGAACUUGACUGUAAAAACUACCUCGGAAUUUUUGGAUACAAACUUAAAUUUUUAUUAUAUUUGUUUUAUACACAUGUCCGGUUUUACCAAACAGAUUCUAAUAAAAAUGUUUUAAUGCAAA